rnacentral:tRNA from 1 species
GGCAAUGUGGCUCAGUGGUAGAGUGCUUGCCUAGCAGGCAUGAAGCCCUGGGUUCAACUCCCUCAGCACCA